rnacentral:rRNA from 1 species
UAAGGAAUAUUGGUCAAUGGACGCAAGUCUGAACCAGCCAUGCCGCGUGGAGGAUGAAGGUCCUCUGGAUUGUAAACUUCUUUUAUCGGAGAAGAAACCCCCGAGUUCUCUUGGGGUUGACGGUACCCGAUGAAUAAGCACCGGCUAACUCCGUGCCAGCAGCCGCGGUAAUACGGAGGGUGCAAGCGUUAUCCGGAUUCACUGGGUUUAAAGGGAGCGUAGGUGGGCUGGUAAGUCAGUGGUGAAAUCUCCGGGCUUAACUCGGAAACUGCCGUUGAUACUAUCAGUCUUGAAUGUUGUGGAGGUAAGCGGAAUAUGUCAUGUAGCGGUGAAAUGCUUAGAUAUGACAUAGAACACCGAUAGCGAAGGCAGCUUGCUACACAAUUAUUGACACUGAGGCUCGAAAGCGUGGGGAUCAAACAGGAUUAGAUACCCUGGUAGUCCACGCCCUAAACGAUGGAUACUCGACAUACGCGAUACACAGUGUGUGUCUGAGCGAAAGCAUUAAGUAUCCCACCUGGGAAGUACKACCGCAAGGUUG